rnacentral:lncRNA from 1 species
GCUCGGGAAUCCAUUAAGAAUCGGACAGCUGUCAGCAGAAUUCAGUGAUAUCUGUGAUGUGAGAAAAAAAAAGGCUGCAAAUGAGACGCCCUAAGAAAGAAACUACCGCCUCAGGUGGUGACUCAUCUAUAGUCCGCUGAAAAAGUUAAUUAUUUCCCUGGCGUGCUUAUUACAACGGCUCACAGUGCUACAUUCUUAUGGAUACAGGAUAAAAAUAUUCGGCACACCCAGAAGCCAAGUGCCAUAACAGGAGUCUUUUCUAGGUGAGAGACAAGCUGAAUAAAUUAAAUCAUAAAUCAAAAAUAAAGCAGUAGUCCUUCUUUUACAGUGUGAGAAAACUU